UUGAUUCUUUGCCUCUUGCAGCUAAAGAAUAAACGUACAUACAACAAAAUCUCUUGAGGAAUAUUUGAUACUGACGAAUCAUGUUAUGUUUAUAUUUCGGCUUAAAAUGCAUUGAACUUUUUUCUUAAAGCCGGACAAAAUUGAAUUGAAAAAUAAGAUAAACUGAACCAAAGCUUGUUUUUAAUUUAAUUAAAUGGUAACGACCAAAAAAAAAAACCAAACUGUCUUAACUUCACUUCACUUAGCAUAAAUGUUCUCAAAUCUUAUUAUCACACUUCCUCACAAAACUUAAAACCAAAACUUAACCAAGCUAAGGUGUGGAAAUUUU
rnacentral:lncRNA from 1 species